AAUACGUAGGUGACAAGCGUUAGUCCGGAUUUAUUGGGCGUAAAGCGAGCGCAGGCGGGUCCGGUAAGUCUGAUGUGAAAGCCCACGGCUCAACCGUGGAACGGCAUUGGAAACUGGCGGACUUGAAUGUAGCAGAGGAAAGUGGAAUUCCAUGUGUAGCGGUGGAAUGCGUAGAUAUAUGGARGAACACCAGUGGCGAAAGCGACUUUCUGGGCUAUGAUUGACGCUGAGGCUCGAAAGCGUGGGGAGCGAACAGGAUUAGAUACCCUGGUAGUCCACGCCGUAAACGAUGAGUGCUAAGUGUUGGAGGGUUUCCGCCCUUCAGUGCUGGAGUUAACGCAUUAAGCACUCCGCCUGGGGAUUACGACCGCAAGGUUGAAACUCAAAAGAAUUGACGGGGACCCGCACAAGCGGUGGAGCAUGUGGUUUAAUUCGAAGCAACGCGAAGAACCUUACCAGCUCUUGACAUCUUCUGCCACCUUCAGAGAUGAAGGGUUCCCUUCGGGGACAGAAUGACAGGUGGUGCAUGGUUGUCGUCAGCUCGUGUCGUGAGAUGUUGGGUUAAGUCCCGUAACGAGCGCAACCCUUAUUGUUAGUUGCCAGCAUUGAGUUGGGCACUCUAGCAAGACUGCCGGUGAUAAACCGGAGGAAGGCGGGGAUGACGUCAAAUCAUCAUGCCCCUUAUGAGCUGGGCUACACACGUGCUACAAUGGAUGGUACAACGAGUGGCGAGACCGCGAGGUUUAGCUAAUCUCCCAAAGCCAUUCUCAGUUCGGGUUGCAGGCUGCAACUCGCCUGCAUGAAGUCGGAAUCGCUAGUAAUCGCGGAUCUGAAUGCCGCGGUGAAUUCGUUCCCGGGU
rnacentral:rRNA from 1 species